AAGUCGUAACAAGGUUUCCGUAGGUGAACCUGCGGAAGGAUCAUUCAUAAUAAGUGUUUUAUGGCACUUUUUAAAUCCAUAUCCACCUUGUGUGCAAUGUUAAGAGGAACAAUUUGAGAGAUCGUAAAAAAAUCUUUCGUCUUGUUCUUUUUCAUAACAAACUCAUUUUUUUUAACAUAUCGUCUGAAAACUAUUAUGAAUACUUAAUUCUAAAUAUAACUUUCAACAACGGAUCUCUUGGCUCUC
rnacentral:misc_RNA from 1 species